AGCGCAGGCGGGAAGACAAGUUGGAAGUGAAAUCCAUGGGCUCAACCCAUGAACUGCUUUUAAAACUGUUUUUCUUGAGUAGUGCAGAGGUAGGCGGAAUUCCCGGUGUAGCGGUGGAAUGCGUAGAUAUCGGGAGGAACACCAGUGGCGAAGGCGGCCUACUGGGCACCAACUGACGCUGAGGCUCGAAAGUGUGGGUAGCAAACA
rnacentral:rRNA from 1 species